rnacentral:rRNA from 1 species
UGUGAGCUCGAUGAGUAGGGCGGGACACGUGGUAUCCUGUCUGAAUAUGGGGGGACCAUCCUCCAAGGCUAAAUACUCCUGACUGACCGAUAGUGAACCAGUACCGUGAGGGAAAGGCGAAAAGAACCCCGGCGAGGGGAGUGAAAAAGAACCUGAAACCGUGUACGUACAAGCAGUGGGAGCCUCUUUUAUGGGGUGACUGCGUACCUUUUGUAUAAUGGGUCAGCGACUUAUAUUCUGUAGCAAGGUUAACCGAAUAGGGGAGCCGAAGGGAAACCGAGUCUUAACUGGGCGUUAAGUUGCAGGGUAUAGACCCGAAACCCGGUGAUCUAGCCAUGGGCAGGUUGAAGGUUGGGUAACACUAACUGGAGGACCGAACCGACUAAUGUUGAAAAAUUAGCGGAUGACUUGUGGCUGGGGGUGAAAGGCCAAUCAAACCGGGAGAUAGCUGGUUCUCCCCGAAAGCUAUUUAGGUAGCGCCUCGUGAAUUCAUCUCCGGGGGUAGAGCACUGUUUCGGCAAGGGGGUCAUCCCGACUUACCAACCCGAUGCAAACUGCGAAUACCGGAGAAUGUUAUCACGGGAGACACACGGCGGGUGCUAACGUCCGUCGUGAAGAGGGAAACAACCCAGACCGCCAGCUAAGGUCCCAAAGUCAUGGUUAAGUGGGAAACGAUGUGGGAAGGCCCAGACAGCCAGGAUGUUGGCUUAGAAGCAGCCAUCAUUUAAAGAAAGCGUAAUAGCUCACUGGUCGAGUCGGCCUGCGCGGAAGAUGUAACGGGGCUAAACCAUGCACCGAAGCUGCGGCAGCGACACUAUGUGUUGUUGGGUAGGGGAGCGUUCUGUAAGCCUGUGAAGGUGUGCUGUGAGGCAUGCUGGAGGUAUCAGAAGUGCGAAUGCUGACAUAAGUAACGAUAAAGCGGGUGAAAAGCCCGCUCGCCGGAAGACCAAGGGUUCCUGUCCAACGUUAAUCGGGGCAGGGUGAGUCGACCCCUAAGGCGAGGCCGAAAGGCGUAGUCGAUGGGAAACAGGUUAAUAUUCCUGUACUUGGUGUUACUGCGAAGGGGGGACGGAGAAGGCUAUGUUGGCCGGGCGACGGUUGUCCCGGUUUAAGCGUGUAGGCUGGUUUUCCAGGCAAAUCCGGAAAAUCAAGGCUGAGGCGUGAUGACGAGGCACUACGGUGCUGAAGCAACAAAUGCCCUGCUUCCAGGAAAAGCCUCUAAGCAUCAGGUAACAUCAAAUCGUACCCCAAACCGACACAGGUGGUCAGGUAGAGAAUACCAAGGCGCUUGAGAGAACUCGGGUGAAGGAACUAGGCAAAAUGGUGCCGUAACUUCGGGAGAAGGCACGCUGAUAUGUAGGUGAAGCGACUUGCUCGUGGAGCUGAAAUCAGUCGAAGAUACCAGCUGGCUGCAACUGUUUAUUAAAAACACAGCACUGUGCAAACACGAAAGUGGACGUAUACGGUGUGACGCCUGCCCGGUGCCGGAAGGUUAAUUGAUGGGGUCAGCGCAAGCGAAGCUCUUGAUCGAAGCCCCGGUAAACGGCGGCCGUAACUAUAACGGUCCUAAGGUAGCGAAAUUCCUUGUCGGGUAAGUUCCGACCUGCACGAAUGGCGUAAUGAUGGCCAGGCUGUCUCCACCCGAGACUCAGUGAAAUUGAACUCGCUGUGAAGAUGCAGUGUACCCGCGGCAAGACGGAAAGACCCCGUGAACCUUUACUAUAGCUUGACACUGAACAUUGAGCCUUGAUGUGUAGGAUAGGUGGGAGGCUUAGAAGUGUGGACGCCAGUCUGCAUGGAGCCGACCUUGAAAUACCACCCUUUAAUGUUUGAUGUUCUAACGUGGACCCGUGAUCCGGGUUGCGGACAGUGUCUGGUGGGUAGUUUGACUGGGGCGGUCUCCUCCUAAAGAGUAACGGAGGAGCACGAAGGUUGGCUAAUCCUGGUCGGACAUCAGGAGGUUAGUGCAAUGGCAUAAGCCAGCUUGACUGCGAGCGUGACGGCGCGAGCAGGUGCGAAAGCAGGUCAUAGUGAUCCGGUGGUUCUGAAUGGAAGGGCCAUCGCUCAACGGAUAAAAGGUACUCCGGGGAUAACAGGCUGAUACCGCCCAAGAGUUCAUAUCGACGGCGGUGUUUGGCACCUCGAUGUCGGCUCAUCACAUCCUGGGGCUGAAGUAGGUCCCAAGGGUAUGGCUGUUCGCCAUUUAAAGUGGUACGCGAGCUGGGUUUAGAACGUCGUGAGACAGUUCGGUCCCUAUCUGCCGUGGGCGCUGGAGAACUGAGGGGGGCUGCUCCUAGUACGAGAGGACCGGAGUGGACGCAUCACUGGUGUUCGGGUUGUCAUGCCAAUGGCACUGCCCGGUAGCUAAAUGCGGAAGAGAUAAGUGCUGAAAGCAUCUAAGCACGAAACUUGCCCCGAGAUGAGUUCUCCCUGACCCUUUAAGGGUCCUGAAGGAACGUUGAAGACGACGACGUUGAUAGGCCGGGUGUGUAAGCGCAGCGAUGCGUUGAGCUAACCGGUACUAAUGAACCGUGAGGCUUAACCUUACAACGCCGAAGCUGUU